AAACUUCAAUUUGUAACAUAAAACUCCAUGAACUUUAAUUUUAUGUACAUAAAAGUCCUGCUGACUUAUGAUAACCAGUUCCCCAAUCAUAAAAUAGUAAAAUGACUUUAAUAACCUUAAAAAAAGAGAAAAUAACUUACAUAUUAACCCUCCCCCAGUGGGGUCUGAGCUGGUUAAGGUUGAUGUUAGGUACAACUUUUUCUACCUUAGACAAUUUGUGAAAUCA
rnacentral:misc_RNA from 1 species